AACGCACAUUGCGCCCCUUGGUAUUCCGAGGGGCAUGCCUGUUCGAGCGUCAUUUCACCACUCAAGCCUGGCUUGGUAUUGGGCGCCGCGGUCAAUCCGCGCGCCUCAAAGUCUCCGGCUGAGCUGUCCGUCUCUAAGCGUUGUGAUUUCAUUAAUCGCUUCGGAGUGCGGGCGGCCGCGGCCGUUAAAUCUUUCAAAGGUUGACCUCGGAUCAGGUAGGGAUACCCGCUGAACUUAA
rnacentral:misc_RNA from 3 species